rnacentral:rRNA from 1 species
UACGUAGGUUGCAAGCGUUGUCCGGAAUUAUUGGGCGUAAAGAGCUCGUAGGCGGUCUGUCGCGUCUGCUGUGAAAACUCGGGGCUUAACCCCGGGCCUGCAGUGGGUACGGGCAGACUAGAGUGCGGUAGGGGAGACUGGAAUUCCUGGUGUAGCGGUGAAAUGCGCAGAUAUCAGGAGGAACACCGGUGGCGAAGGCGGGUCUCUGGGCCGUAACUGACGCUGAGGAGCGAAAGCAUGGGGAGCGAACAGG